rnacentral:rRNA from 1 species
GACAUAGGUGGCGAACGUUAUCCGGAAUUAUUGGGCGUAAAGGAUGCGUAGCUGGUAGAGUAAGUUACUGGUUGAUGCCAAACUCAAUUUGACGGAAGCUGGUAAUACUGUUCUGCUAGAGGACAGGAGAGGUUGAUGGAAUUCUGUGUGGAGCGGUGAAAUGCGUUGAUCUACAGAGGAACACCAAAAAAGGCGAAGGCAGUCAACUAUUCUGUUCCUGACGCUGAGGCGCGAAAGCUAGGGGAGCAAACGGG